AAUAUUUCACGUGGUUUUAUAUUUUUUAUAUCUCUAUAUUUAUUUAUAAUUGUCUAUAAAAAUUAUAACUGUAUUCGAAUCGUAGAAAGUUCGAAAAUAAAAUUCGAACACCCGUUACCACAGCAGCCUUAGUUACCGCGAGUGAUUAUAAACAAUGGAAAAAAUGGUGUUGCAUCAACAAGAAGUGCUCUGUCUUAACACCGAUAGUGAUUAAGCCAUCCCAACGGAAACAAACAGCCACAAUUUCAGCGUCUUUCACCAACAUUUCUCAGCAGCACCACAAAUUAGGAUUUUCCAUCAUCCGACUGGUCGGUAGCAAUAACGAUCAAGCGAUGCUUCUGCCAAAGGGUUUGGCUCUAAUUCAACAACCGCAACUAGAGCAAAUUCACAGGUGCAAACGAUGCAAGCCAAUCAGGAUCAAACGCAGAUGAGCAUUCGUCGCAGGAACAACCACAAACUAGAAUUAUCAUCACCCAGAUUCCGUAGUAGAUACAGCAACGGCACCUUCAGGUACAACAGCAGUAUACAAUACAGUCCCAAGCAGCAAGAACAUCACAAUCAGGAAUAACCACUGCAGCAGCCGCAAGAAGAUUGAAUUGGCCACGAAUCGAUCAAGGGAAAGUGAAGGAAUUUCUGUAUUUGUGCGUGUGUAUGACUCGUUUUUGAAAAAAGCGCUUUCCUUCGAUUCUCUGGCACGCUACCGGGGAAAUCCGUCACCAUUAAGUUGAAUGAGAACCAGGAAUGAGUCCUUCGGGGAGACGACACGUAAUGGUUGAUGUUGGUGGAAUUGCAGAUCACGCUCUGAAAAUAUCGCAAACUAUAUCCUCCUCAGCAGCACGCAACCCCGACACGAAAGGUGGUAUGCAAAGCCCCUGUAAAACAACGACAGCCCGUUAAUAUUUAGCAUAGCGUAAAAAGCGUAGUAGUUAGAAGAUAGACGGCACAUAAUAGCAAGCCAGUCCCAUGUUCUGCACUAUCACUAUACGCAUAACUGUUCCAUAUGCUAUGGAAUUUGCAUAUGGAUGCACAUCACAUUAACCUUUAAAUGCAUGAAACUCAUUUUUAUUGGUAUUCAUUUUUCGGUAUGGAUGCGAUAUUUACCUCUUGUUGAGGCUUAAUAUCACAGAAUUCGGUAUGUUGCCAAAUGGCAACAGUAUGCAUUUAAGGGUUCAGCAAAAAACAUCAAGAAAAUGAGAUAACAAUAAAUAGUCCUUACCGUUAUCGUAA